rnacentral:rRNA from 1 species
GACGAGGGGUCCAAGCGUUGCUCGGAAUCAUUGGGCGUAAAGCGUGUGUAGGUGGCUUUGUAAGUCAGGAGUGAAAGCCCUGGGCUUAACCCAGGAAGUGCUUUUGAUACUGCGAAGCUUGAGUGUGGGAGAGGAUCGUGGAAUUCCAGGUGUAGUGGUGAAAUACGUAGAUAUCUGGAGGAACACCGGUGGCGAAGGCGGCGAUCUGGCCCAACACUGACACUCAGACCCGAAAGUGCGGGGAUCAAACAGG